rnacentral:rRNA from 1 species
AGAGUUUGAUCCUGGCUCAGAUUGAACGCUGGCGGCAUGCCUUACACAUGCAAGUCGAACGGCAGCAUGAUCUAGCUUGCUAGAUUGAUGGCGAGUGGCGAACGGGUGAGUAAUACAUCGGAACGUGCCCUGUAGUGGGGGGAUAACUAGUCGAAAGAUUAGCUAAUACCGCAUACGACCUGAGGGUGAAAGUGGGGGACCGCAAGGCCUCAUGCUAUAGGAGCGGCCGAUGUCUGAUUAGCUAGUUGGUGAGGUAAAGGCUCACCAAGGCGACGAUCAGUAGCUGGUCUGAGAGGACGAUCAGCCACACUGGGACUGAGACACGGCCCAGACUCCUACGGGAGGCAGCAGUGGGGAAUUUUGGACAAUGGGGGCAACCCUGAUCCAGCAAUGCCGCGUGUGUGAAGAAGGCCUUCGGGUUGUAAAGCACUUUUGUCCGGAAAGAAAUCGCACUUACUAAUAUUAGGUGUGGAUGACGGUACCGGAAGAAUAAGGACCGGCUAACUACGUGCCAGCAGCCGCGGUAAUACGUAGGGUCCAAGCGUUAAUCGGAAUUACUGGGCGUAAAGCGUGCGCAGGCGGUUGUGCAAGACCGAUGUGAAAUCCCCGGGCUUAACCUGGGAAUUGCAUUGGUGACUGCACGGCUAGAGUGUGUCAGAGGGGGGUAGAAUUCCACGUGUAGCAGUGAAAUGCGUAGAGAUGUGGAGGAAUACCGAUGGCGAAGGCAGCCCCCUGGGAUAACACUGACGCUCAUGCACGAAAGCGUGGGGAGCAAACAGGAUUAGAUACCCCAGUAGUCC